rnacentral:lncRNA from 1 species
ACCCACCCGUCCCGCAUCUUAUAUUUGUUUUUUUUUUUGUGUGUGGGCGCUGCCUCUGCCGCGAGUCUGCAGUGUGUGGGUCUAGGGAAGGGCGGCGAGCUAAAGGAGCGUGUUGGUGUGAGAAUAAUAUAAUUUAUAGGCUUUUUAACUUCGAGUAUGUCCGACGAAUCCAACGAGCGUGAGGUGGCUCAAGGGGGCCUAGCUGAGGCCACCCGGCGGGUCGCAGGUUGCGGAUAUCGAACGGCCUACCUUGUUAGGUAGGUCAGCUGUGAAUAAGCGGGCAUCCCAAAGAAUGUCAACACAGUUGACACAGUCUCUCAGAGAAAGUACCGAAAUAAGCAGACCCGGACAGCCAGCGGGUGUUCGCGAAGUAGCAACACUGACGAUGCGCUUGUGGUGCCGCCUUGUACAAGUAGCUCACACACUUCCCCUUCCCACACAACACCUACCCACAUCCCACCCACACACCUCAAACCGGGCCGGACUAAGGUGUCAUUCGACCCGUUCCGAGAGUCAGUCUGGCUGGGGACCCGGUAUAAAAACUACCCAACUCGUGAACGGAGAGCUCAGGGAAAUGGCUGCCCCUGUUCUAAUGAUGCCUUACCCGGGCAACGUGGAUCUCUGCCUGGGCUGACCGUUCCCCUUCUCUGCAUCUCAUGGGAAAAAUAUGGAGCAGAUAAAUACUGUGAGGGAACGUGUCCCUCACAGGCCGUAGAGCUGUUAAAGCCAGGGGCUCGGAUAUCCGAACACGGCGAAUUUAGAAGAGGCGCUCAGGGAGCGGGGAGCCCAAGACGGCGGAGCAGAAUAGAGGGGAAGGAUGGGAUCGGGCCGGCAGCGGACGAACGCAUGACCAAAUAU